rnacentral:rRNA from 1 species
ACGAACGCUGGCGGCGUGCUUAACACAUGCAAGUCGAACGGUGAAGCGCCUUCCUUUUUGGUGGGUGUGGAUGAGUGGCGAACGGGUGAGUAACACGUGAGUAACCUGCCCCCUUCUUCUGGAUAACCGCAUGAAAGUGUGGCUAAUACGGGAUAUUCUGGGUCUGUCGCAUGAUGGGUCUGGGAAAGAUAUUGUUUCGGUGGGGGAUGGGCUCGCGGCCUAUCAGCUUGUUGGUGGGGUGAUGGCCUACCAAGGCGGUGACGGGUAGCCGGCCUGAGAGGGUGGACGGUCACACUGGGACUGAGACACGGCCCAGACUCCUACGGGAGGCAGCAGUGGGGAAUAUUGCACAAUGGGGGCAAGCCUGAUGCAGCGACGCCGCGUGAGGGAUGGAGGCCUUCGGGUUGUGAACCUCUUUCGCCAGUGAAGCAGGCCUGCCUCGUUUGUGGGUGGGUUGACGGUAGCUGGAUAAGAAGCGCCGGCUAACUACGUG